GGGGCUGAUUCUGGAUUCGACGGGAUUUGCGAAACCCAAGGUGCAUGCCGAGGGGCGGUUGGCCUCGUAAAAAGCCGCAAAAAAUAGUCGCAAACGACGAAAACUACGCUUUAGCAGCUUAAUAACCUGCUUAGAGCCCUCUCUCCCUAGCCUCCGCUCUUAGGACGGGGAUCAAGAGAGGUCAAACCCAAAAGAGAUCGCGUGGAAGCCCUGCCUGGGGUUGAAGCGUUAAAACUUAAUCAGGCUAGUUUGUUAGUGGCGUGUCCGUCCGCAGCUGGCAAGCGAAUGUAAAGACUGACUAAGCAUGUAGUACCGAGGAUGUAGGAAUUUCG
rnacentral:tmRNA from 2 species